rnacentral:rRNA from 1 species
ACGGCUCAGUAACACGUGGAUAACAUGCCCUUAGGCGGAGGAUAAUCUCGGGAAACUGAGGAUAAUACUCCAUAAAUCAUGGAUGCUGGAAUGCUACAUGGUUCAAAGUUCCGGCGCCUAAGGAUUGGUCUGCGGCCUAUCAGGUAUUAGUGGGUGUAACGGACCCACUACCCUAUGACGGGUAUGGGCCUUGAAAGAGGGAGCCCAAAGAUGGAAUCCGAAACACAAUUCCAGGCCCUACGGGGCGCAGCAGUCGCGAAAACUUCACACUGGGGGCAACCCCGAUGAGGGAAUUCCUAGUGCUAGCGCGUUUAGCGUUAGCUUUUCUUCAGUAUAGAUAGCUGGAGGAAUAAGGGCUGGGUAAGACGGGUGCCAGCCGCCGCGGUAAUACCCGCAGCCCAAGUGGUGGUCGAUAUUAUUGAUUCUAAAACGUUCGUAGCCGGUUCGCUAAAUCCCUGGGUAAAUCGGUCAGCUCAACUUGACCGACUUCCGGGGAGACUGGCGAACUUGGGACCGGGAGAGGCUAGAGGUACUUCUGGGGUAGGGGUAAAAUCCUGUAAUCCUGGAAGGACCACCGGUGGCGAAGGCGUCUAGCUAGAACGGAUCCGACGGUGAGGAACGAAGCCCUGGGGCGCAAACGGGAUUAGAUACCCCGGUAGUCCAGGGUGUAAACGCUGCAGACUUGGUGUUGGAGGCUCUUAGGGAGCGUCCAGUGCCGGAGAGAAGUUGUUAAGUCUGCUACUUGGGGAGUACGUCCGCAAGGAUGAAACUUAAAGGAAUUGGCGGGGGAG